UUAAGUCCCGCAACGAGCGCAACCCCUAUUGUUAGUUGCCAUCAUUCAGUUGGGCACUCUAGCGAGACUGCCGGUAAUAACCGGAGGAAGUGGGAUGACGUCAAAUCAUCAUGCCCCUUAUGACCUGGGCUACACACGUGCUACAAUGGACGGGUACAGAGGGUAGCGAUAUCGCGAGAUGGAAGCCAAUCCCAAAAAGCCGUUCCCAGUUCGGAUUGGAGUCUGCAACUCGACUCCAUGAAGUUGGAAUCGCUAGUAAUCGCGGAUCAGCAUGCCGCGGUGAAUACGUUCCCGGGCCUU
rnacentral:rRNA from 1 species